CAAAAAUUGACACUCUCCUUAGGAAUAACUUCCUAGCUCUGGUGGCAGUCAACCUCAGGAAUAGGUUCCCCAUGCUGCUGCUUAUGAAACAGAGUAACUGAACUAUUCCAGACCUUCAAUCCCACCUACCUUUCUUGGAAAUGACACUGCUGCCACCUACUAUGAAUGGGAGACAGAAACCUGGGACAGAUUCCCCAGGUCUCUGAUGCUGAAUGUGCCCUGGAGAGAGAUGUGGAUGCUCACAGUGGCCCAGCAUGGUUCUUGGCACUGGUGCUUGGAGGAGGCAGGGGGACUACAGAGCCUGAGGAGAUAAGUAGCAAGCUGCUGGCUUCCAAGUGGUGCAGAGUGGCUCCAAGUCUUCCUAUGUGACUCAUCACUCUUCAGAGUUUUUCCUAAAGUUCAAGGCUAAGUAGACAAAUCUUGUCCACAGAUGAACUUAUAACAGAGCUUUUAUUCUUUUACUGGGUCUCAGCUUCUCCCUAUUUAUGUCAAUCAUUCUGAUCACUAAAAUUUAUACAGUAUUGCUGCAUAUGAUUUUGUUUCAUUUUCCUGUAAAUGUAGAAAGUGAUUAAAACAAGACUCAUCCUGUAGUACUUGAAUUCAAGCAAUAAAGGCUCAUGGCAACAACA
rnacentral:lncRNA from 12 species